UAGGCGGUUUAUUAAGUCAGAUGUGAAAGCCCCGGGCUUAACCUGGGAACUGCAUUUGAAACUGGUCAACUAGAGUAUGGUAGAGGAAAGUGGAAUUUCUGGUGUAGCGGUGAAAUGCGUAGAUAUCAGAAGGAACAUCAAUGGCGAAGGCAGCUUUCUGGACCAAUACUGACGCUGAGGUACGAAAGCGUGGGUAGCAAACAGGAUUAGAUACCCUGGUAGUCCACGCCGUAAACGAUGAUAACUAGCCGUUGGGGGGAUUUACCCUUUAGUGGCGAAGCUAACGCGUUAAGUUAUCCGCCUGGGGAGUACGGCCGCAAGGUUAAAACUCAAAGAAAUUGACGG
rnacentral:rRNA from 1 species